rnacentral:tRNA from 1 species
GCCUGGGAGGCUCAGUGGUUAAGCGUCUGGCUUCAGCUCAGUUCUGAUCUCUCCAUUCGUGAGUUCAAGCCCUGCCUCAGGCA